CAGUAGCCACGGGAAUACAGAGGAUGCAAGCGUUAUCCGGAAUGAUUGGGCGUAAAGCGUCUGUAGGUGGCUUUUCAAGUCCGCCGUCAAAUCCCAGGGCUCAACCCUGGACAGGCGGUGGAAACUACCAAGCUGGAGUACGGUAGGGGCAGAGGGAAUUUCCAGUGGAGCGGUGAAAUGCGUUGAGAUCGAAAAGAACACCAACAGCGAAAGCACUCUGCUGGGACGACACUGACACUAAGAGACGAAAGCUAGGGGAGCAAAUGGGAUUAGAGACCCCAGUAGUCCCUGUCUCUUAUAC
rnacentral:rRNA from 1 species